rnacentral:tRNA from 1 species
UCCGGGGUAGCUCAACCGGCAGAGCAGCGGACUGUUAAUCCGUGUGUUGGGAGUUCGAGUCUCCCCCCCGGAGCCA